rnacentral:tRNA from 2 species
GGGGCGGUAGCUCAGUUGGGAGAGCGCUAGAAUCGCACUCUAGAGGUCGGGGGUUCGAAUCCCCUCCGCUCCACUA